rnacentral:rRNA from 1 species
GACGAACGCUGGCGGCGUGCCUAAUACGUGCAAGUAGAACGCUGAAGGAGGAGCUUGCUUCUCUGGAUGAGUUGCGAACGGGUGAGUAACGCGUAGGUAACCUGCCUGGUAGCGGGGGAUAACUAUUGGAAACGAUAGCUAAUACCGCAUAAGAGUAGAUGUCGCAUGACAUUUGCUUAAAAGGUGCAAUUGCAUCACUACCAGAUGGACCUGCGUUGUAUUAGCUAGUUGGUGAGGUAACGGCUCACCAAGGCAACGAUACAUAGCCGACCUGAGAGGGUGAUCGGCCACACUGGGACUGAGACACGGCCCAGACUCCUACGGGAGGCAGCAGUAGGGAAUCUUCGGCAAUGGACGGAAGUCUGACCGAGCAACGCCGCGUGAGUGAAGAAGGUUUUCGGAUCGUAAAGCUCUGUUGUAAGAGAAGAACGAGUGUGAGAGUGGAAAGUUCACACUGUGACGGUAUCUUACCAGAAAGGGACGGCUAACUACGUG